CCUACGGGUGGCAGCAGUGAGGAAUAUUGGUCAAUGGCCGAGAGGCUGAACCAGCCAAGUCGCGUGAGGGAAGACGGCCCUACGGGUUGUAAACCUCUUUUGUCGGGGAGCAAAGAGAGUCACGUGUGACUCAUUGAGAGUACCCGAAGAAAAAGCAUCGGCUAACCCCGUGCCAGCAGCCGCGGUAAUACGGAGGAUGCGAGCGGUAUCCGGCUUUAUUGGGUUUAAAGGGUGCGCAGGCGGAGGUGCAAGUCAGCGGUCAAAUUGCGGGGCUCAACCCCGUACUGCCGUUGAAACUGCAGCCCUUGAGUGCGCGAGAAGUAUGCGGAAUGCGUGGUGUAGCGGUGAAAUGCAUAGAUAUCACGCAGAACUCCGAUUGCGAAGGCAGCAUACCGGCGCGCAACUGACGCUCAUGCACGAAAGCGUGGGUAUCGAACAGGAUUAGAUACCCCUGUAGUC
rnacentral:rRNA from 1 species